GGGAAUCUACCCAUCUCUGCGGAAUAGCUCCGGGAAACUGGAAUUAAUACCGCAUACGCCCUACGGGGGAAAGAUUUAUCGGGGAUGGAUGAGCCCGCGUUGGAUUAGCUAGUUGGUGGGGUAAAGGCCUACCAAGGCGACGAUCCAUAGCUGGUCUGAGAGGAUGAUCAGCCACAUUGGGACUGAGACACGGCCCAAACUCCUACGGGAGGCAGCAGUGGGGAAUAUUGGACAAUGGGCGCAAGCCUGAUCCAGCCAUGCCGCGUGAGUGAUGAAGGCCUUAGGGUUGUAAAGCUCUUUCACCGAUGAAGAUAAUGACGGUAGUCGGAGAAGAAGCCCCGGCUAACUUCGUGCCAGCAGCCGCGGUAAUACGAAGGGGGCUAGCGUUGUUCGGAAUUACUGGGCGUAAAGCGCACGUAGGCGGAUAUUUAAGUCAGGGGUGAAAUCCCAGAGCUCAACUCUGGAACUGCCUUUGAUACUGGGUAUCUUGAGUAUGGAAGAGGUAAGUGGAAUUGCGAGU
rnacentral:rRNA from 1 species